rnacentral:lncRNA from 1 species
GAUUCUCCGUAGAAAAACAAAUAAAAUAAUGCACAUAAGCGAAGAACUGUCGUUUUCUUACCUACGUGGCUCCAGAAGAAGUCACUGCUGACGAAAUACGCACUGCACACUUUCAUCGGUGGUGUGACAGGCGUGCCAAUUCGCAGCUUGACAACCCAUUCUUUCUUCUUUGCCGCAUCUUUGGGGAACGAAUGGAGGCCCACUUCACUCGCCAGAGCUCUUGGUGCAUUGCGGCACGCAGUACAUGCGAUUGCUUUUGAAUUUAAUCUUGCACAAACGAUGC